rnacentral:misc_RNA from 1 species
UCCGGUUUGUCACCGGCAGUCUCGCAUGAGUCCCCAACUAAAUGCUGGCAACAUGCGACGGGGGUUGCGCUCGUUGCGGGACUUAACCCAACAUCUCACGACACGAGCUGACGACAGCCAUGCACCACCUGUGAAGAUGCCCCGAAGGGAAGCCGUGUUUCCACGGCGGUCAUCCACAUGUCAAGCCCAGGUAAGGUUCUUCGCGUUGCGUCGAAUUAAACCACAUGCUCCGCUGCUUGUGCGGGUCCCCGUCAAUUCCUUUGAGUUUUAAUCUUGCGACCGUACUUCCCAGGCGGGGUACUUAAUGCGUUAGCGUCGGCACUGCAGGGGUCGAUACCCGCUACACCAAGCAUCCAUCGUUUACAGCUAGGACUAC